UACGUAGGGCGCAAGCGUUGUCCGGAAUUAUUGGGCGUAAAGAGCUCGUAGGCGGUUUGUCGCGUCUGCUGUGAAAACCUAAGGCUCAACCUUGGGCCUUGCAGUGGGUACGGGCAGACUAGAGUGGCGGUAGGGGAGAUUGGAAUUCCUGGUGUAGCGGUGGAAUGCGCAGAUAUCAGGAGGAACACCAAUGGCGAAGGCAGAUCUCUGGGCCGUAACUGACGCUGAGGAGCGAAAGCAUGGGGAGCGAACAGG
rnacentral:rRNA from 1 species